UACAGAGGGUGCGAGCGUUAGUCGGAUUUAUUGGGCGUAAAGAGCUCGUAGGCGGCUUGGUAAGUCGGACGUGAAAUCUCCUGGCUCAGCUGGGAGGGGCCGUUCGAUACUGCCAUGGCUAGUGUCCGGUAGAGGAGUGUGGAAUUCCCGGUGUAGCGGUGAAAUGCGCAGAUAUCGGGAGGAACGCCUACAGCGAAGGCAGCACUCUGGGCCGGCACUGACGCUGAGGUACGAAAGCAUGGGGAGCAAACAGA
rnacentral:misc_RNA from 1 species